CAGUCGUGAGGAAGGUAGUGUAGUUAAUAGCUGCAUUAUUUGACGUUAGCGACAGAAGAAGCACCGGCUAACUCCGUGCCAGCAGCCGCGGUAAUACGGAGGGUGCGAGCGUUAAUCGGAAUUACUGGGCGUAAAGCGCAUGCAGGUGGUUUGUUAAGUCAGAUGUGAAAGCCCGGGGCUCAACCUCGGAAUUGCAUUUGAAACUGGCAGACUAGAGUACUGUAGAGGGGGGUAGAAUUUCAGGUGUAGCGGUGAAAUGCGUAGAGAUCUGAAGGAAUACCGGUGGCGAAGGCGGCCCCCUGGACAGAUACUGACACUCAGAUGCGAAAGCGUGGGGAGCAAACAGGAUUAGAUACCCUGGUAGUCCACGCCGUAAACGAUGUCUACUUGGAGGUUGUGGCCUUGAGCCGUGGCUUUCGGAGCUAACGCGUUAAGUAGACCGCCUGGGGAGUACGGUCGCAAGAUUAAAACUCAAAUGAAUUGACGGGGGCCCGCACAAGCGGUGGAGCAUGUGGUUUAAUUCGAUGCAACGCGAAGAACCUUACCUACUCUUGACAUCCAGAGAACUUUCCAGAGAUGGAUUGGUGC
rnacentral:rRNA from 1 species